rnacentral:rRNA from 1 species
AUGGUUAGUGUCAAGAUCAAUGAUGAGGUGGGACCUUACAUCCAAAGUGCUAAGGGGGUGAGGCAGGGGGAUCCUCACUCCCCUUUCCUGUUUAAUAUUGCGGCUGAUUGCCUGACCAGAAUGGUACUUGCAACACAAAAGAAUGGUCUCAUUAAAGGAUUAGCUGCUGACCUUAUUGAGAAUGGGGUUUGCAUCCUGCAAUACGCGGAUGACACGGUGCUUUGUUUUGAACAUGAUAUUGACAAAGCUGUGAAUAUCAAGCUCUUGCUUUAUCUCUUCGAACUUAUGUCUGGGCUUAAGAUCAAUUUUGAGAAGAGUGAAAUAUUUAGUAUUGGGGGGGAUAAUGAUACUAAUUCGGAUUAUGCCAACAUGUUUGGAUGUCAAGUGGGCACACUUCCUAUUAAAUAUCUGGGAGUCCCUGUUACUUACUCUACUCUCAAGAAUGCGGAUCUAGAUUUCCUCGACGGAAAAAUGAUCAAAAAACUUGAUGCCUGGGUAGCGUAUGCGGCA